CCCGUGUUUAUUUACCUUGUUGCUUCGGCGGGCCCGCCUUAACUGGCCGCCGGGGGGCUCACGCCCCCGGGCCCGCGCCCGCCGAAGACACCCUCGAACUCUGUCUGAAGAUUGAAGUCUGAGUGAAAAUAUAAAUUAUUUAAAACUUUCAACAACGGAUCUCUUGGUUCCGGCAUCGAUGAAGAACGCAGCGAAAUGCGAUACGUAAUGUGAAUUGCAAAUUCAGUGAAUCAUCGAGUCUUUGAACGCACAUUGCGCCCCCUGGUAUUCCGGGGGGCAUGCCUGUCCGAGCGUCAUUGCUGCCCUCAAGCCCGGCUUGUGUGUUGGGCCCCGUCCUCCGAUUCCGGGGGACGGGCCCGAAAGGCAGCGGCGGCACCGCGUCCGGUCCUCGAGCGUAUGGGGCUUUGUCACCCGCUCUGUAGGCCCGGCCGGCGCUUGCCGAUCAACCCAAAUUUUUAUCCAGGUUGACCUCGGAUCAGGUAGGGAUACCCGCUGAACUUAAGCAUAUCAAUAAGCGGAGGAA
rnacentral:rRNA from 1 species